rnacentral:lncRNA from 1 species
UUUGCAAAUGCAAGAGUUAUAACCUUCAAUUUUAUUUCUCAAAUAUUAUUGUCUCCUACUUCUUCCAUAGAGUACAUAAAAAUGAUAAACAAUUCAAAAUAAUAUUAAAGGGUUUAAAAAGAUACAUACGAAAAGUAGAGUAAAAUCUAUUAUUUUGCUACAUCACCCAUUUUUGUAGGCCUGUGUUUGGAUAUAAUUCAACCCCACUUCCCUAUGCAGGUUGCCGUGCCUUUGGAGAAGCUACAAAUUGCAGCUUCGCAUUUGACGCGUGCUACAGUUACCCACCACAAAAACAAAGAGGCUCUAAUUGUAUCUUGAAAUUGAUGGUACACCAUGGAAAAACAGAUGUCUCUCCGGAUUUACACCAACAAAAUAUACUCAUUAAACUCUAUUCGUUUGUAUAAACACCUUAAUUAAGAGCUUAUAGCAUAAGCUCUUAUCAUAUAAGUGCUUAUAUGUAUAAGAAAUUUUUAUAAUGAAAGAUAAAAUCGAAAUCAAUUGUCUUCAUAUUAUAUAUAUAUGUCAUAACAUGUUUUCAUAAGCUCUCCCAGAAAGUCUAACAAGUGCUAAUGUUGAUAAACAUGCUCAAAUAACUAAAUCCAAGCAACCUUAUGACAAAUCCACCUAAUUACAAUAACUAUUCAAAAAGAGACCGAUAUUGAGGACAAAACUGAGAGUUCAAUCUUCCUAUACUAAUGAAAUGAAAAAAAAGUAUAAUUUCAGUGUACAGAAAAUUUACCUGACAAAAAGUGAAAUCAUUAUCACUGUCCAUUUCAAAGCACACUGAUGAUUGCAGGCAGGUAGGAUAGGCGAUUAUGGAGGCAGAAUCGCAGGAUCUCUGGCGAUCUAUGAAGCACGCGAUGGAUUGAAAAUAUUGGCUAGGGUUCCUUUUCUGUCGCUGAACUUAUUCACAAAAAGUGAUUUUCUCAAUCUUUGCUGCGUGCGAAAUUACGGUCUAUGCNAAAAUCUAUUAUUUUGCUACAUCACCCAUUUUUGUAGGCCUGUGUUUGGAUAUAAUUCAACCCCACUUCCCUAUGCAGGUUGCCGUGCCUUUGGAGAAGCUACAAAUUGCAGCUUCGCAUUUGACGCGUG